CCUACGGGAGGCUGCAGUGGGGAAUAUUGCACAAUGGGGGAAACCCUGAUGCAGCGACGCCGCGUGAGCGAUGAAGUAUUUCGGUAUGUAAAGCUCUAUCAGCAGGGAAGAAAAUGACGGUACCUGACUAAGAAGCCCCGGCUAACUACGUGCCAGCAGCCGCGGUAAUACGUAGGGGGCAAGCGUUAUCCGGAUUUACUGGGUGUAAAGGGAGCGUAGACGGCGGUGCAAGCCAGAGGUGAAAGCCCGGGGCUCAACCCCGGGACUGCAUUUGGAACUGUGCAGCUGGAGUGUCGGAGAGGAAGGCGGAAUUCCUAGUGUAGGGGUGAAAUGCGUAGAUAUUAGGAGGAACACCAGUGGCGAAGGCGGCCUGCUGGACGAUGACUGACGUUGAGGCGCGAAAGCGUGGGGAGCAAACAGGAUUAGAUACCCGAGUAGUC
rnacentral:rRNA from 1 species